rnacentral:tRNA from 1 species
GCGGGGAUACCAAAGCGGUCAAAUGGGGCAGCCUCAAGAGCUGCCGGCUUAGUGCCUUCGGAGGUUCGAAUCCUCUUCCCCGCA